rnacentral:rRNA from 1 species
GAAAGUAAUGAAGGGCGUACGGUGGAUGCCUAGGCUCUUACAGGCGAUGAAGGACGUGAUAAGCUGCGAAAAGCCGCGGUGAGGCGCAAAUGGCCCUUGACCCGCGGAUCUCCGAAUGGGACAACCCAAUAUCUUGAAGAGAUAUUAUCCCGCCGGUGCGGGAGGCGAACGCGGGGAACUGAAACAUCUUAGUACCCGCAGGAAAAGAAAAUAAAGAAUGAUUCCCCCAGUAGUGGCGAGCGACCGGGGAAGAGCCCAAACCGACGUUGUCUCGGCAUCGUCGGGGUUGUAGGACCGCGCCAUCGCAAGAAAGGCCGUGAGUGGAAGCGACUGGAAAGCCGCGCCAUAGAGGGUGACAGCCCCUUACACGAAGCAGCCUGAAGCGUAGCGGACUCCUGAGUAGCGCGGGACACGAGUAAUCCUGUGUGAAUCCGCCGGGCCCAUCCGGCAAGGCUAAAUACUCGUAAGAGACCGAUAGUGAACCAGUACCGUGAGGGAAAGGUGAAAAGGACCCCUUGCAGGGGAGUGAAAGAGUUCCUGAAACCGUACGCCUACAAGCGGUCGGAGCAUCUUGAAUGAUGUGACGGCGUGCCUUUUGCAUAAUGAACCUACGAGUUGCCGUCACCAGCGAGGUUAAGUGCGACGACGCACCGAGCCGCAGCGGAAGCGAGUCUUAAAAGGGCGCGAUAGUUGGUGGAGGCAGACGCGAAACCGAGUGAUCUACACUUGUCCAGGAUGAAGUCCCGGUAACACGGGAUGGAGGUCCGCACCAAUAAGCGUUGAAAAGCUUCUGGAUGAGGUGAGUGUAGGAGUGAAAGGCCAAUCAAACUCGGAGAUAGCUCGUACUCCCCGAAAGGCAUUUAGGUGCCGCCUGUGGCGUUCCCGACGUGAGGUAGAGCGACUGAUAGGAUGCGAGGGCUUCACCGCCUAUCAAGUCCUGACAAACUCCGAAUGCACGUCGGCCAAGCCAUGGAGUAAGGGCAUGGGUGCUAAGGUCCGUGCCCGAGAGGAGAAGAAUCCAGACCACCGGCUAAGGUCCCGAAAUACUGGUUAAGUUAGACUAACGCAGUCCGGCCCCCAAGACAGCUAGGAUGUUGGCUUGGAAGCAGCCAUUCAUUCAAAGAGUGCGUAACAGCUCACUAGUCGAGGAGCUGGGCGUGGAUAAUAAUCGGGUAUAAAACCAGUUACCGAAGCCGUGGGAUGCUCAAGCAUCGGUAGGGGAGCAUUGCAUGCGGCUUGGAAGGCGGGGCGCGAGCCCCUCUGGAGCGCAUGGAAACGCAAAUGUAGGUAUAAGUAACGACAAGGGGGGUGGGAUGCCCCCCCGCCGAAAGACCAAGGUUUCCUGAUCAACGCUAAUCGGUUCAGGGUCAGUCGGGUCCUAAGCAUAAGCCGUAUGGCGAGGGCGAUGGAUGAAACGGUUAAUAUUCCGUUACUGUCUUGGUGUGUGACGCGGCGACGGAGUAGUGACACGGCCGCCUCCUGACGGAAAAGGGGGUUGAAGCGCAAAGGUGUCGAGGAAGGCAGGCAAAUCCACCUUCCGAGCCGAAGCGCGAUAGUACGCCGGGCCCUUUGGGGCAAGGCGAUAGUGCCGGUAAUCAGACUUCCAAGAAAACCCGCUAAACUUCAGCACCAAGUCACCCGUACUCCAAACGGACACACGUGGUCGGGUAGAAUAUACUAAGGCGCUUGGGAGAUUCACGGUUAAGGAACUAGGCAAAUUGACCCCGUACCUUCGGAAUAAGGGGUCCUCGCUUUUGCGAGGCGCAGAGAAUAGGUCCAGGCAACUGUUUAACAAAAACACAGGGCUGUGCCAAUUUGAAAGAAGAAGUAUACAGCCUGACACCUGCCCGGUGCCGGAAGGUUAAGAGGAGAGCUCAUCAGCGAUGAGAAGGCUUGAAUUGAAGCCCCGGUAAACGGCGGCCGUAACUAUAACGGUCCUAAGGUAGCGAAAUUCCUUGUCGGGUAAGUUC